UGAAGUACCAGGCUUUGGCUCUAGCUUUAGCUCUGGCACUGGAACUGCCUCGGAGUCUGGGUCUGAGUCUGGCAGCCCGAAGCUUGGACACCUUUUCUUGAUUCUCUAGGUGGGGGCUGCCUGCGUCCAAGCACCUGGUUUGCAGCGUUUCAACGCGGGGAGGGAGUUCCCUUACCUGGGGUCCAGUCUGUAAAGUUGUCGCCGCUUUCUAGGGAUCCCGCCCCACCGGCUGGGACUCUUCCAUGCAGUUGAAACUGGUUGACAACCAUUAACCUGGGUUGCAACUACAGGUGGCACUGGAAGCAGACUGGUUCCUGGACAUGCCCGGUGGAAGGAGGGGCCCUAGUCGGCAACAGCUAAGCCGUUCAGCUUUACCUUCUUUGCAGACUUUGGUUGGUGGGGGCUGUGGCAAUGGAACAGGCUUGAGAAACAGGAAUGGUAGUGCUAUUGGCCUUCCAGUCCCACCUAUCACAGCCUUAAUCACCCCAGGUCCUGUUCGUCAUUGCCAAAUUCCUGACUUGCCUGUGGAUGGGAGCCUACUCUUUGAAUUCCUUUUUUUCAUCUACCUGUUGGUUGCUCUUUUCAUUCAGUACAUCAACAUUUAUAAAACAGUGUGGUGGUAUCCUUACAAUCAUCCUGCUUCUUGUACAUCACUGGUUUGGUGUUUAUGUUCCUCUUUGCUGUUUUCAUCAAGAUAGUAGAGCUCAUCUUCUUCUCACAGACUAUAACUAUGUGGUUCAGCACCAGGCAGUAGAGGAAAGUGCCUCGACUGUGGGAGGCUUGGCCAAAUCCAAAGACUUUCUCUCCUUGUUGCUGGAGUCGCUGA
rnacentral:sRNA from 1 species